rnacentral:ncRNA from 17 species
UCAUGUGGUCUAGUGGUUAUGACAUCUGACUUUGAAUCAGAAAAUCGUGAGUUCAAUUCUCACCUUGA